AGAGCCCAUCGUCGAAUCGCAAGUCAUCUCGGCUUUGUGAAAUGUGACGUUUGGGAGGGUCUUCCACGGCUCAGACGAUCAGUCCAAGUCCAACUUGACAGUGGCCACAGCCCAUAGAGGGUGAUAGGCCCGUAAGGCGGUUGUCUGGCUGUGCUGACCUCUCUCUAGAGUCGGAUUGCUUGGGAGUGCAGUCCAAAGUGCGAGGUAAACUCCUCGUAAGGCUAAAUAUAACCCCGAGACCGAUAGCAAACAAGUACAGUGAUGGAAAAUUGAAAAGAACUUUGAAGAGAGAGUUAAGAGUACGUGAAACUGUGUGGUGGUAAACGGAGGCGUUNCUCGAAGUGUCCGUGGGGGACUCAAGCUUGGUGGUNNGGGCAGCCGGCGUUCCCUGAUCAGCAAUGACUGGGUGCGCUGUGCAGGCUCGCCUCCCGGCCGCACUUUCCCCGCGGUUGACGGCAGGAACUGUUGGGACCGGACCAAAGGCCUGGGAUGAAGUUGCCGGCCCUCACGGGCUUGUAGCUCCCGGUGUCCUGGCUUCAGGCCCGACGGGGUAUGAGUGGACUUGUAUAGCAAGCGACAGCCUGUUGCGGUUCACAUCUCUCUGC
rnacentral:rRNA from 1 species